ACUGCCUGAUAACCACGUGUUGAAUAGUGUAUAUCUGAUACAUUACAGUACGGAUGUUUCUGUAUUGUUAAAUCAUUUGCUUAUAAAUGUAUACGGAGACAAUGACGGUCGGCUGUAAGAACUAUUCUGACUAAGGAGGGUACUGACCAGAAGUAGAUAAUCCUCACCGUGUCGACUGCGUGAAGGGAACGAUGUGACGUAUCACUCAGGAGCAAUGUGUGCACGCUUCACUGCGCAGACCAUAUAGCCGCCUUAUGCACCGUGCAGGAUGACACCUGAAUUUACUGAAGAAAACAACAAUGAUGUACGUAUCGAAUGGACAGCUAGUAAAUACAUGGUACAAUACUUUGUAACAUUUUGCUUCCGCAGUCGCCCAAGAAAACUCAUAAAAAUAGGCGAAGAAUGUGAAACAUAUGGAUCCAGGAGCGGCGUGUGGUGGAAAUUUUCAGUUCAAUAAAUAUUCAGUUUUAGAGAAUUUGGAUGACCAAAGGCAGUAAUCAGUAUAUCAGAGUAGACACUGCCUGUUCUACUUUGAUGGACAAACCAGUUCAAAAUGCCGGGUAAUAGCAGAUGCGUUUUAAUUUGAAAUAAUUAGAUUUAUUGAUUUUAAAUGAGUUGACAAAUCGAGCACUAUUACAGGGCUUAUAUUGAUUGAUGAUCUACAGAUAUCUAACACACUUUAACCUGUGUAUACAGGUGUGUAUAUAUUUAAUUGUUGCGAUUUGAGAUUCAAAUAAAAGGGGCGCCCCAUUGGCUGUGAAAAUGACAACCAUUUUUUCUUAAAAUCUCUCAAUGACAUAGGAAUAUAUAUAUAUAUAAUUGUUUGUUUGUGCUUUAUAUUAAAUAUUCUAUACAAUUGCA